rnacentral:rRNA from 1 species
CGUGAGCAACCUGCCCCUGACUCUGGGAUAAGCGCUGGAAACGGCGUCUAAUACUGGAUACGAGAUGUGACCGCAUGGUCGAUGUCUGGAAAGAUUUUUCGGUUGGGGAUGGGCUCGCGGCCUAUCAGCUUGUUGGUGAGGUAAUGGCUCACCAAGGCGUCGACGGGUAGCCGGCCUGAGAGGGUGACCGGCCACACUGGGACUGAGACACGGCCCAGACUCCUACGGGAGGCAGCAGUGGGGAAUAUUGCACAAUGGGCGGAAGCCUGAUGCAGCAACGCCGCGUGAGGGAUGACGGCCUUCGGGUUGUAAACCUCUUUUAGCAAGGAAGAAGCGAAAGUGACGGUACUUGCAGAAAAAGCGCCGGCUAACUACGUGCCAGCAGCCGCGGUAAUACGUAGGGCGCAAGCGUUAUCCGGAAUUAUUGGGCGUAAAGAGCUCGUAGGCGGUUUGUCGCGUCUGCUGUGAAAUCCCGAGGCUCAACCUCGGGCCUGCAGUGGGUACGGGCAGACUAGAGUGCGGUAGGGGAGAUUGGAAUUCCUGGUGUAGC